rnacentral:rRNA from 1 species
GGAGUUAGCCGGUGCUUCUUCUGCGAGUAACGUCACAGAUGUAAGGUAUUAACUUACACCCUUUCCUCCUCGCUGAAAGUGCUUUACAACCCGAAGGCCUUCUUCACACACGCGGCAUGGCUGCAUCAGGGUUUCCCCCAUUGUGCAAUAUUCCCCACUGCUGCCUCCCGUAGGAGUCUGGGCCGUGUCUCAGUCCCAGUGUGGCUGAUCAUCCUCUCAGACCAGCUAGGGAUCGUCGCCUAGGUGAGCCUUUACCUCACCUACUAGCUAAUCCCACCUGGGCUUAUCCAUCAGCGCAAGGCCCGAAGGUCCCCUGCUUUCCCCCGUAGGGCGUAUGCGGUAUUAGCAGUCGUUUCCAACUGUUAUCCCCCACAAAUGGGCAAAUUCCCAGGCAUUACUCACCCGUCCGCCGCUCGUCAUCUUCAAAAGCAAGCUUUUGAAAUGUUACCGCUCGACUUGCAUGUGUUAGGCCUGCCGCCAGCGUUCAAUCUGAGCCAGNANACAACUCGAGACUAGACGGCGUGUCGACGACGGC